rnacentral:rRNA from 1 species
UACGUAGGUGGCAAGCGUUGUCCGGAUUUACUGGGCGUAAAGAGCGCGCAGGCGGUCGUUCAAGUCGCGUGUGAAAGCCCCCGGCUCAACUGGGGAGGGUCACGCGAUACUGAUCGACUCGAAGGCAGGAGAGGGUAGUGGAAUUCCCGGUGUAGUGGUGAAAUGCGUAGAUAUCGGGAGGAACACCAGUGGCGAAGGCGACUACCUGGCCUGUUCUUGACGCUGAGG